rnacentral:lncRNA from 1 species
UCCCCGCCUGCUGUCCCCGCAAGGUGGCGCCUUGGACGCGGGCGCACAGCCCGGGAGAGGCUCAGGAAGCCCAGGGCCCGGCCCGGCAGCCUGCAGCCCGAGGGCUUCGCCCCUCCCGAAGGCCCUGAGCUCCAUUCUAGGCGUUCAGACGGGACAAGGGCGGUGGAAGAUGAAAUGAGAACCAGAGUUUGACAAAGAACUGGCAAAAUAAAAGAAAACUCACACAGGACUUAGGAAGAGAGAAAAUCUUCAUCGGGAAGUUCUGAUGGAAAGGAACCUGCAUCCACAGUGCUGACGACUUCUGCAGAGGGGAGCGUCCUGAGGAGGAGGCGGACACAAUUGCCUGUGGUGCCACACUAAAGACGUCCCAAGACACAUGCUGCCACCUGGCAUUCAACCCAGACUCCCAGUACAUUUAAGAAGCAUAGUCGUGGACCAGAAAAUCAGACUCUGGAAGUGGCUCUGCAUUUCUGGGAUCCUCCGGCUGAAGGAGGAUGUGGUUUGCCAAGAUAUCCACCCGGCUGACCUCAAAUUCGCAGAGAGCAGUCCCGAGCCCCAGCCAAGCUCACAGGACGACUUUGAAACGUGCCCUGGCACCCAUCAAAGUUACACGCGUGGACUGCGGAGUGCAGGACGAAUUUGAUUUGAAGUUUCGCUGAACCCUUGAGAGACUUCUGGGUCAUGAGC